GUCCAGGGAGAAAGUGGCUUCAAGAAACUGAAAUAAGUUCAGCGAGAUAAAAACUCAACACUAUCCCUGGGAUCUGGAAGUUGCUCAUUGGUGAGAGCAAGAGCAGUUCUGGUGGAAAGGACAGAAGUCAGAUUUCUGUGGGUCAAAGAACAAAUGGGAGGUGGAGCUGCAAAAUAUGUGAAGCAAAAACUGCAAAAUAUGUGAAGCAAAAAUUGAUAGGACUGAAAGGAGGAACAGACAAACCCACAGUCAUGGUUGAAAACUUUGAUACUCCUUUCUCAACCAUUAGCAGAAUACCCAGACAGAAAUCAGCAAGGACAUGGAAAACUCAACACUGCUGAGCACCAGGAUGGAAUCAACAUUUAUGGAACGCUUCACCCAAUAAUAGCAGUGUCCAUAGAAUAUAUGUGAAAUAGACUGUAUCUUGGGCCGUAAAACAAACCUUAAUGAAUUUAAAAGAACGAAAA